GCAAAACUUUACCAAACGUUCUUAAAAUUAUGUUGAAACUGGCGUUUUUCAUAAUUUCCAUUCAACUCCUGGCAAUUUCAAUAUCAGAAGCCUCUUCAAAAUCUUCAGAGGAAGACAAAUUAUCAAAAAUUCCUGUAAAGCCCUUGCCGACCAAGAAGGUAUUAGUUCCUCCAUUUCAGGAUGAAGAUAGUUCCGCUAAAAAUUCCCCGUCGUUGAUUUGGAAAGCCAAUCGUAAAACUAUCAAGAAAAAGAAUAAAGCACAAAGAACGAACAAUAAAACCUAGAAGACAAAAAAGCCUCAGCCAAAUGUAUAAGAAAUACAGUUUAAAUGUGGUUAUUAAAAAAAUUUGCAAAAAACUAUUGCCAGAUGAUUUGUUGAUAUGUGUUUAACUAUUUAUUUUCUACACUUAAAUCAAUAAAAGAAUCCUCUAAGCAAUU